rnacentral:rRNA from 1 species
GCCUAGUACGGCGAGUGAACAGGCAAGAGCUCAGAUUUGAAAGGCACUUUUGUGCCGUUGUAUUCUGAAGUUAGGGUCCUGAGAAACGAUGCUUAAGUCUUCUGGAAAGGAGCGCCAUGGAGGGUGAUAGCCCCGUCUAGCAUUGACCUCAUAUAGGAUCUUAACAUGGAGUCGAGUUGUUUGGGAAUGCAGCUCAAAUGGGUGGUAUGCUCCAUCUAAAGCUAAAUAUCUGCGAGAGACCGAUAGUAAACAAGUACUGUGAGGGAAAGAUGAAAAGAACUUUGAAAAGAGAGUGAAAAAGUACGUGAAAUUGUUGAAAUGGAAGGGUAGGCCGCUAACCAUGUAGAGCCGUGUUUGGGGGGAAGAUAAAUGCUGUAGAAUGUAGCUCCUCGGAGUAUUAUAGAUGCAGUUCAUAUUCCCACCCGAGCGCGAGGAUCUCAGGUUCUACUAAAUGGUGGUCUACCACCCGUCUUGAACCACGGACCA